rnacentral:rRNA from 1 species
UACGUAGGGACCGAGCGUUGUCCGGAUUCAUUGGGCGUAAAGAGCUCGUAGGCGGCUGUUCAAGUCGAACGUGAAAACUCGGAGCUCAACUCCGAGCCUGCGUUCGAUACUGGACGGCUAGAGUCUGGUAGGGGGAUCUGGAAUUCAUGGUGUAGCAGUGAAAUGCGUAGAGAUCAUGAGGAAGACCAGUGGCGAAGGCGGGUCUCUGGACAGUUCCUGACACUGAGACACGAAGGCCAGGGGAGCAAACGGG